AAAAAAGUCUUAUAUUAGUUACACAAGCCACCCUAGGCAGGUGAUUAAAAUCUUUUUUACAUAAGUGUAUAUUUUAUUUAUAUUGCAAAACUUUUUUUAAAAAAGUCUAAUGCUGAAUGUUAUAAGUGUAAAUGCUUAUAUUAUAUUUUACUAGCAUUUACACAUCUCUUUACUGUUCUGGCUGUUUGCUAGAAAUAUUUCACUAGUCCAAACAAUGCAUACUAAAGGAAGAAACAAUAACGAAUAUAUAUUUUGGAACUUCUAAAUUAAUAAUUUUAAAAUACUUUCUUUAAAUGAAUACAUUCCUGUAUUAACAAAACAUAGUUCUCAUCUAGUGCAAAAUACCCACCUCUAAAGUGAUCCAUAACUUCCAGCAAUGUAAUUAGUGGGUGGAUUUUCAUACUAUUACAGGGUCAGAAUUAACAUAUUAAUAUUUAGUAGACUAGCUUCCCCCUCACCUCCAGUGACUUUUAAUAGCUAUUUGAAACGGUUAAUUGAAUCUUGUAAGACAGUUUAGCUUUGGUGCACUUUGGCUUCUGUGUUUAUAAUUAUCAUAGCAAACAAGGAAAAAGUACAACAAAUUACUUCUGAGUUGAAGAUGGGUCUUCCAGGAUGGGAAGUGCCACUGCUAAGGUCUAUAUUUCACUUAUUUCCAGAAGAAAAUCUCAAGUUCAGAGCAGCAAGUCAGACAAGGGUUUGUCAUCUUUGAGAUUUCCCCCUUAAGAAGUGGGAUUAGAUUUCCAAGAGACUUUUGCACCUACAAAUAUGUACAGACUAAGAACUGACAGAAGGCACUACUUCCAGAUGCAUUUCCUCAGUCUUGCAGGUAUGAUUAUUGGGGAGAUUCCUCUAACUGCAAAUUCUUAACAAGUCAGUCCAAAGAACUAUACUACUUUUGUUAUUCCUUGUGCUGUUUCUGACACAGAGUUCUGUGUGAACUUUUAGCAGUCUGGUGUGCCACAUUUCAGGUGCUGCACCAUUAUUCUUUUCAAUUCUUCCCUUUGGUUUCUUUUAUUCUUGUUCUGCUGUUACACUAAUCAGGCUGUGAAUGGUUUUCCUAAGUCUGUACCUUCCUGCAUAAGCACUGCUAUUUGAGCCAAGC
rnacentral:lncRNA from 1 species